GCGCCGCUAGCUCAACUAGGCAGAGCAACGGACUCUUAAUCCGUGGGUUGAAGGUUCGAUUCCUUCGCGGCGUACCA
rnacentral:tRNA from 3 species